rnacentral:rRNA from 1 species
GGAUUAGCUAGUUGGUGGGGUAAAGGCCUACCAAGGCGACGAUCUGUAGCUGGUCUGAGAGGAUGAUCAGCCACACCGGGACUGAGACACGGCCCGGACUCCUACGGGAGGCAGCAGUGGGGAAUAUUGGACAAUGGGGGCAGCCCUGAACCAGCCAUGCCGCGUGUGUGAAGAAGGCCUUUUGGUUGUAAAGCACUUUAAGCAGUGAAGAAGACCUAACGGUUAAUACCCGUUAGCGAUGACAUUAGCUGCAGAAUAAGCACCGGCUAACUCUGUGCCAGCAGCCGCGGUAAUACAGAGGGUGCAAGCGUUAAUCGGAAUUACUGGGCGUAAAGCGAGCGUAGGUGGCUUGAUAAGUCAGAUGUGAAAUCCCCGGGCUUAACCUGGGAACUGCAUCUGAUACUGUUGGGCUAGAGUAGGUGAGAGGGAGGUAGAAUUUCAGGUGUAGCGGUGAAAUGCGUAGAGAUCUGAAGGAAUACCGAUGGCGAAGGCAGCCUCCUGGCAUCAUACUGACACUGAGGUUCGAAAGCGUGGGUAGCAAACAGGAUUAGAUACCCUGGUAGUCCACGCCGUAAACGAUGUCUACUAGUCGUUGGGGAACUUGAUUCCUUAGUGACGCAGCUAACGCAAUAAGUAGACCGCCUGGGGAGUACGGCCGCAAGGUUAAAACUCAAAUGAAUUGACGGGGGCCCGCACAAGCGGUGGAGCAUGUGGUUUAAUUCGAUGCAACGCGAAGAACCUUACCUGGUCUUGACAUAUCUAGAAUCCUGCAGAGAUGCGGGAGUGCCUUCGGGAAUUAGAAUACAGGUGCUGCAUGGCUGUCGUCAGCUCGUGUCGUGAGAUGUUGGGUUAAGUCCCGCAACGAGCGCAACCCUUUUCCUUAGUUACCAGCGGUUUGGCCGGGGACUCUAAGGAUACUGCCAGUGACAAACUGGAGGAAGGCGGGGACGACGUCAAGUCAUCAUGGCCCUUACGACCAGGGCUACACACGUGCUACAAUGGUAGGUACAGAGGGCAGCUACACAGCGAUGUGAUGCGAAUCUCAAAAAGCCUAUCGUAGUCCAGAUUGGAGUCUGCAACUCGACUCCAUGAAGUAGGAAUCGCUAGUAAUCGCGGAUCAGAAUGCCGCGGUGAAUACGUUCCCGGGCCUUGUACACACCGCCCGUCACACCAUGGGAGUUGAUUGCACCAGAAGUGGGUAGCCUAACUUUUAGAGGGCGCUCACCACGGUGUGGUUGAUGACUGGGGUGAAGUCGUAACAAGGU